CUUUGGGAUAACCCUCGGAAACGGGGGCUAAUACCGAAUAUUACCUUUGGUCGCAUGACUGGGGGUGGAAAGUUUUUCGGCCUGGGAUGGGCUCGCGGCCUAUCAGCUUGUUGGUGGGGUGAUGGCCUACCAAGGCGACGACGGCUAGCCGGCCUGAGAGGGCGACCGGCCACACUGGGACUGAGACACGGCCCAGACUCCUACGGGAGGCAGCAGUGGGGAAUAUUGCACAAUGGGCGGAAGCCUGAUGCAGCGACGCCGCGUGAGGGAUGACGGCCUUCGGGUUGUAAACCUCUUUCAGCAGGGACGAAGCGCAAGUGACGGUACCUGCAGAAGAAGCGCCGGCCAACUACGUGCCAGCAGCCGCGGUAAGACGUAGGGCGCGAGCGUUGUCCGGAUUUAUUGGGCGUAAAGAGCUCGUAGGCGGCUUGUCGCGUCGACUGUGAAAACCCACAGCUCAACUGUGGGCCUGCAGUCGAUACGGGCAGGCUAGAGUUCGGUAGGGGAGACUGGAAUUCCUGGUGUAGCGGUGAAAUGCGCAGAUAUCAGGAGGAACACCGGUGGCGAAGGCGGGUCUCUGGGCCGAUACUGACGCUGAGGAGCGAAAGCGUGGGGAGCGAACAGGAUUAGAUACCCUGGUAGUCCACGCUGUAAACGUUGGGCGC
rnacentral:rRNA from 1 species